GGAUACAGGACAGUGAAUCAUACUCAACAUUUGGAGAGCUGCCGAGGGACACUCAUGCUCAACCCUAAAUUCCCAGGACAUGAUUAAAGCAUAUUCCUGAGUCACCGUUUAGCAGUCCACCAUCAGUUAACUAGGCCAGACAAGUGACAAUUUGAUAAAAUAUCACAGGGGAACACAGGAAAUGGCCUAAACAAUCUCUCCAUAUCAGUCAGAGAGCUUCACUUAGAAGUUUCCCUAAUUAAAAGAAACUGUACAAAAAGGACUUCCAUUGUUUGUUGAGGCAAUUCUUUUUACAUUAUACAAAAACUCCACCAAAUUUACAUCAGUCGCUAACUACCACCACAGCAAGCUGCAACUAUUUGAAGGAUCCUUGGAAGAGUACUUGAAGUGACAUCAGUAAAAUAUUUGUUAAACCACAUUUAUAUCACUUUAGGCUCUCUUUCUCUCCAACUUUCAUAGUAAUUUCACAUAAAAGAAGGGCAUCUCUCACUUAUCUCACCAACAACUGGUUGCUUGAUGUCACAAACACAAUGCAC
rnacentral:misc_RNA from 1 species